AGGAGGAACAGCCCCAGAGGCGGGGCAGCUCUGGAAACCUGGAUUCAGCUCCGGCAGGAACUCCGUCUGCAGGGCCUGGAGGCUCCCGGGCGGG
rnacentral:pre_miRNA from 1 species